rnacentral:rRNA from 1 species
UACGUAGGGUGCAAGCGUUAAGUCGGAAUACUGGGCGUAAAGCGUGCGGCAGGACGGUGAUGUAAGAGUCAGAUGUGAAAUCCCCGGGCUCAACCUGGGAACUGCAUUUGUGACUGCAUCGCUGGAGUGCGGCAGAGGGGGAUGGAAUUCCGCGUGUAGCAGUGAAAUGCGUAGAUAUGCGGAGGACACCGAUGGCGAAGGCAAUCCCCGUGGGCCUGCACUGACGCUC